rnacentral:misc_RNA from 1 species
AAUUCUCAAAAACCUUUUUCUGCUUUUGCUGGGAAAGGAUUUUUGGACUUGGAGGUUCAAUGCUUGCUUUUCACUUUGGUGGAAAGCAAGCUCCUCUCAAAUGAAUUAGUGGGGUCUGCUUUGCUGGUCCUUGACGUGAUAAGAUGUUUCUACGUUUUGGAUUUAGCACUGUUUCUUUGGACACCUGCUCCUAACCGUCUGUCUCACAGACAACGAUGGUGCUCCGGUCUUUGCCGCCUUACACUGGCGGAGGAGGGGCUGGGCCCACGAAAGAAAA